GGCAGAAAUAGGGCCCGGGCCCGCGGCUGCUGCUCGCCCGGCUGCUGCCCAGGGGCUGCCCCGAGGCAGAGCUCCCGCCAAGGCCUGAUGUGCCGGGAGCAGCGCCCGGCGGCUGCGAGGGAGCGGCGAGCUCGCUGGGGACCGAGCCGGAGGGGGAGGAGGUCUGCUGCCGCCGCAGCCUGGCGCAGGUAACGGCCCGGUGGUCCCUGGUCAGCCGGCGAGCCUGCAGAAGCAACGGCAAGAAGCCCCAGGAAAAGAUUCCCAAAGGCUCCAGGAGAGUUUCGGUUGUGGCCAAGGCGACAGACCUGGACUGAAUCUGAGGAAGCAAAGGAGCCUGCAGGUCCUGUGGCACAAGGCCUGAAGUACUGGCACUGCAGUGACAGCUGCUCGGAGACCACGCCGAGCUUUGCGCCUUGGCACGCGUGACCUGUUCAAAAGCGUGGGUGCACAGGCAGUAUGGCAGCCAGGCUGUACUGCAGAGGAAGUGUGUUUCAUGGCUUUGGCUAAAUUUCAUUAAAAUAUGUCCUUUUUAAUGGCAGACUUGCUAGAAGCCCAUAUUUAAGGACGGUUGGUUUCUCUUACUUGUAGAGAUGAUCACGGAUCACUUGGGAAAUAUACAUUAACAAAGCAUGUUGCAAGACUUCUUGCUUUCUGCGCUUUUCUUCUGGUUUUGGUAUAUGUUGGAUUUCACUAUCCAGUAACAACAACAGGCAUUUUUACAAACAAAAGCAAAUGAACAAAACCAGAGCUGUAGAAAUGGAAACACUGCAUCGGGUAGGACAACAGCUGGGCUUUUUAAACAGCUAGCCUUCAUCACCCCUGCUCGUGUAUCACCUAGAUGACACUACGGAGGUCUGCUGUUGUAACCAACAGUGUAAUAUUUACAAUGUUGAAGUAGGAAUGUUAAAUGGGAUUUGUUUUCUUUAAGUAGCCUAAAUACUCCUCAUCAUUCAUAGGUAUGAUGUAUCUCGCCACAAAGAAACACUUGUCAACUUUUAGGAAGCAAUAAAUAAGUGUCAAUGACAGAACUCCAAAAUGAACUCUUAGUUGUGUUUACUUUUUAGGAUUAAAAGGUGUGGUAAUACAAUCAAGGAAAAAUACUUUAACUUGGCUAAGAAGGAAUCAAUUUGGUCUUCAAUUGCUUGGGCAGAAGAGUACUAAAUAACUAUACCAUUCUCCAAAAAGGCAAGACUACUUAAAAAAUGUAAUCCUGCUGUUAAGAAGAUUGGGAAAAAACAUUGCAAGGGAUUGUCAUGCCACUGGGCACCACAGAACCUGCUCUUGUCUAACCAGGUUUCCUUUAAUUAAUGUAGAAGCUUUUGCAAUGUCAAAGGAGUUAUCUAAAGCAUACAGAAAGAAAUGUUUUUUUUUUUCUUGCGACUCACUACCUUUUGUGACUGAAGCUAUUGUUUAAUGGGAUUUGAAGCUGAAAAUCCAGAAAGCAGAUUUUCUAAACAUCAAGAUAGCAAUUUAAGGCCCUGCAGUGUAAACAGAAGCACAGCUUAAACUGUUCAAUGUUUGUAACACUAGUAUCUUCUAAUAAAUUCUCCCCCUGCAGAAGCAGAUUGAUUAUCAGACCAGUGACCAAGAAGAUACUUGAUAUAAAGUUGCUGAAAAACAUUAACUGUGGAGGACUGCAAACUUUGCUUUCAGAAGUGAUAACCAUCUGUUCUUUCUAUUGAGCAGAUAGAUUCGUAGGUGUUCGGUACUUCUGCAGAGGUGCCUUGUCAAGUGACUUGCCCGGGAAAUUAACUUUGCAGUUACUCCUUUGGAAAUACACUGGGGCUGAAGGUCCAGCCCGUAGCCUCGAAUGAUGGCAGAUUUUCACCGAUUAUUCAGUAGUUCCUGCAAAGCUGUCUUCUUUCAUUUGGUAGAAAAUUCACAACUUCAGCAGGUGAGCAUUCACUCGAAUGAGCAACAAGCAACUCCGUCACAAAAUUCUGAAUCAAAAGUUGAAAGGUAAAACCUGAAGUUAUCUCUAACUGUAAUAAUUCAGAUGGGGUUUAACAAAGAAGCUUGCAUAAAACUGUAGUUGUGCUGUAACUACCCAAAUUCUUGAUGCAGCUGUUAACAACCAGAAUAUACUGUUCCUAAUCCAUUGCAGAGGAACAAAACUGCUCAUGCAGUGAGAGGCAAUGACUUAAACAUCACUGUGGAGCAUCAGACAAUGAAGGGUAUUAUAUAAAAAUAAUCUCUUUAUUGUGAUCUUUUUUUCCAUUUACCUGACAAUGUUAUUUCUUAAGAAUAAAUAUUAACAGGUGAAGGCAUCUCUGCUGAGCCUACAAUUUCAUGUUUCUUGCAGUAGCAGUGCUGUCAUAACCAACUUCUUCCCCGGCUGCUUGUCCCUGCCUUACACUGGGGGUCUUUCUGGGCAGCACAUGGGCGUGCCAGGCCAUGCUGCCCACCAGAUGGGUGGCUGCCCCAGUGGAGUCACCGCUGCCCACCCUCUUCACCCUGGAUGUUGCCAGUGGCAGCACCGGCUUCAGUAAGCCUCCUCGCUGCUCUUUUCUGCCCUUGCACAAUCCCUGAGUUGUCUGAAACCCUCUGCAGAGCUAGAAUAGGGAACAGAUUUGACAGAAAAAUACCAUUUAUUAAGACUGGUUGGUUUUCAGUGAAAUCAGUUCAGUUGAGCCCAUUCAACACACAACUGAGUAAACAUCACAUUCUCCAAACAGUGGA